rnacentral:rRNA from 1 species
UAACGGGCGUGCAUGUAGCGCACGUCAAGGGCGCGGGAGAAACCCGCACGGGGUGAACACCGAGCGCAACGGUAGAAUGAAUCUGGUACGGUGACGUACCCUCAGGGCGAGGAUAGCCACGGGAAACUGUGGGUAAUACUCGAUAAUCUUCCGGUGUCAAACCGGAAGCAAUGGGUGUGAUUCCACCUGAGGAGCGGCUUACGCAGUAUCAGCUAGUUGGUGAGGUAACGGCUCACCAAGGCUUUGACGCUUAGGGGGUGUGAGAGCAUGGCCCCCACCACUGGCACUGAGACACUGGCCAGACACCUACGGGUGGCUGCAGUCGAGAAUCUUCGGCAAUGGACGAAAGUCUGACCGAGCGACGCCCGUGCGGGAUGAAGGUCUUCGGAUUGUAAACCGCUGUCAGAGGGGAUGAAGUAUAUGAGAGCUAUCUCUUGUAUUUGACAGAGCCUCAAGGAAGCACGGGCUAAGUUCGUGCCAGCAGCCGCGGUAAUACGAACUGUGCGAACGUUAUUCGGAAUCACUGGGCUUAAGGGUGC